AGACCUAUGAAGGUCAAAGGGGAAGUUAAGAAAAGCUGUAUCGAUUGUUGAGAUCUGGCGACUUGCUUAAAUUUCAUCAGCCUCACUUCUAUGGACUCUCAGACAGCUCACAGUAUGGCAGCUGACAUUCUACAGAGUGAGCAGGUGAAGGAAAGAAAGAAAAGGUAAAGGAUGUUCAUGUGAAAUUAAGGGACAGAGUAUUUCAUUGGGAUGAAAAGGGAGCCAUUAAAAGGAAUAAUAAAUUGUGAAAACUGGGCAUGACUGCCUAACCAGCCAUGUACUUAGCUGAUUACCAACUCCUACCACUGUUAACCCUCAUCCAGGAACAAGCUUAUGUCUUUAACAUUCUGAGUGGGCUUCAGCAUCCUUGCAUAUGUUCAAUUCUUAAAAACCUGUUGAAAUAAAAGAUCAGGAGACAUAGGAGGGAUGCCAGAAGACAGCGUGGCCUCACGUGUACCAGCUCUCUGCUCUCCUUUGCCUUGGGACGUUCCAUCCCUGGAAGUUUCCCUGCCCACAUCUUUGUAGAGAGUCCAUUCUCCAAGCUUCAGUGUGUCAUCUGUUAGGACUAUGACCCACCUGGUACAUUACCUCAGGGCAUUCAUUUCAGGCUCCUUCUAAGUGGUCAAGGUAAACCUCAGGUUCUCCUCCUGCCUUUUGCUAAGUAUAUGUCUUGAUGACAAGCCUUCUGCUAAUGAGCUGUGUUUCUGGACCGAUCAUGGUAGAAGUCAAUUGAAGUGUCCCUCACUUGGGGUUUCUUAAGGCUGCACUGAUGAGGAAACUGAAACAGAAAAUCCAGAGUAAAUUCCACCAGGCCACACAGCAAGGUCUGAUAGAGCCAGGAGAGACUUUAUGAAAUCCAGACUCUCACACUAAUGCUCUAUCAGCUAGACCUCCAUGUGAGUCUCCCCAAUGUAGGUAGGAAGCACUUUCCC
rnacentral:lncRNA from 1 species